GGACGUUCCUGGAAAGCAUUGAUGAUAACUUUCUGACACAGGUGAUGGGGGAGUCAACAAGGAGAGGUGUACUGCUGGGCCUACUACUAACAAACAAGAAAGGGCUGAUUAGAGAUGUGAAG